GACGAACGCUGGCGGCGUGCUUAACACAUGCAAGUCGAACGGAAAGGCCCUGCUUGCAGGGUACUCGAGUGGCGAACGGGUGAGUAACACGUGGGUGAUCUGCCCUGCACUUCGGGAUAAGCCUGGGAAACUGGGUCUAAUACCGGACAGGAGCCAUUUUUAGUGUGAUGGUUGGAAAGUUUUUUCGGUGUAGGAUGAGCUCGCGGCCUAUCAGCUUGUUGGUGGGGUAAUGGCCUACCAAGGCGGCGACGGGUAGCCGGCCUGAGAGGGUGGACGGCCACAGUGGGGAUGAGAGACGGCCCAGACGCCGACGGGAGGCAGCAGGGGGGGAUAUUGCGCAAUGGGCGCAAGCCCGGAUGAACGAAGCCGCCGUGGGGAGUAACGCCUUCGGGUUGGUAACGGCUUUCGCCAGGGACGAAGCUUUUUGUGACGGUACCUAGAUAAGAAGCACCGGCUAACUACGUG
rnacentral:rRNA from 1 species